GGAUUUCCCUGCACCAAAGGCUGCUUCUCAGCACACAGCACAGCGGGCUAGCUUCUACUAUGCAAUAUCUUCUACUUCAUUUGGGAGACUGUUAUACAUGUGAGACAAAUUGCAAGAGAUUCAAAAGGAAACUAGUAGAUGAAUGCUGCAAAGGGAGAUAUUCACUGAAGCCUGUGGAAGUAAGGCCAGGACCUAGCUGUGGAAGACAAUUCCACCAGAUUUUCAUUUUGAGGACCGCUUGGGUCUAAUUGACACAGGCUUGAACUGAAAGCAAUACCAUUCCUGAUGUUGACUGUUGCUACUCACAUGGCGCAUUAGGUGGAAUCAACUGGACAAAGGAAUGAAUCCUGAAAGAACCUGCAUACUUGGAACAGAAGUGGUUGUUUACAGAUCAAGCACACUGGGAAGAAAUGGCUGAAAGAAAACGUUGGGGCUUUUUCUUCUAGGUGACCCUUAGCACACUGCACACUGGAGGCCAAAACCAGCAUAUCACCCACUUUCGUAAGUGGAGUUUUAUAGGACAGCAGCCGUACCCAUGGAGGGACACACCGCCUACAGCUGACUUCAACUCACAGCACUGGAGUUGAGAAGUUUCAACAAAGACCUUGUGUCCUGCAAAAACAAGCACAUUUACUCUCUGGAUCUUUAUAGAAAGAGUUUGACAACCUCUGUUAAUAGGCAAUGGACAGCUGUUACAAUUUGUCUCUCCAUAAGGAUACGACAAUUAAUGAAAGAGGACAGAAAUCAAAGAGUGAAAUUUCAAGAUUGUUCAAGAUUUUUCCAGCUCAAUAAAUCUGGGAUCUCUUAACUUCUUUAGAAAGUCACCUAACCAACAAACCUGUAUUAAACCACGGGCUAGGCAGUCAUUGGAUUAAAUACUUCCUUGAUCAAAGUGAUAGGCAUUGUAAAAUUAUUUCCUACUUUGGAUUCUUUAAAUAAUUGUGUGCAGAAGAUUGUAUAGGUUGUGUAGAUUUUGCAGAAAUACAUAGAUUGCUGAAUGGGAGCAGAAGAGUUAAUUCUUUUUUUUUUUAACUUUUAUUUUAGGUUCAGAGUUACUUGUGCAGGUUGGUUAUACAGGUAAACUCAUGUCAUGGGGGUUUGUGGUACAGACUACUUCAUUUCUCAGAUGCUAAGCCUAGUACCCAAUAGUUAUUUUUUGUGAUCUUCUUCCUCCUCCCACCCUCCACCUUCAAGUAGGCCUCAGUAUCUGUUGUUCCCCUCUUUGUGUCCAUGUGUUCUCAUCAUUUACCUCCCACUUACAAGUGAGAACAUGUGGUAUUUGGUUUUCUGUUCCUGCAGUUCCCGCAUUAGUUUGCUAAGGAUGAUGGUCUCCAACUCCAUCCAUGCUCCUACAAAAAGACAUGAUCUUGGUUUUUUUUUGGCUGCAUAGUAUUCCACGGUGUAUAUGUACCACAUUUUCUUUAUCCAAUCUACCCUUGAUGGGCAUUUAAGUUGAUUCUAUGUCUUUGCUAUGAUGAGUAGAACUGCAAUAAACAUACAUGUGCCUGU
rnacentral:lncRNA from 10 species